UACGAAGGGGGCUAGCGUUGUUCGGAAUCACUGGGCGUAAAGCGCACGUAGGCGGAUUGUUAAGUCGGAGGUGAAAUCCCAGGGCUCAACCCUGGAACUGCCUUCGAUACUGGCUAGCUCGAGUCCGGGAGAGGUGAGUGGAACUGCGAGUGUAGAGGUGAAAUUCGUAGAUAUUCGCAAGAACACCAGUGGCGAAGGCGGCUCACUGGCCCGGUACUGACGCUGAGGUGCGAAAGCGUGGGGAGCAAACAGG
rnacentral:rRNA from 1 species